GACCAUGUGGCCUAAUGGAUAAGGCGUCUGACUUUGGAUCAGGUGAUUGAGGGUUUGAAUCCCUUCAUGGUUG